AAGUCGUAACAAGGUUUCCGUAGGUGAACCUGCGGAAGGAUCAUUAGCACGUAUCCAAACGUUAAAACAACCCUGUGAACCUUCAGCGUGUUCUUGCACAACUGUUAACAAUGAAUAUCUUGUUCUC
rnacentral:misc_RNA from 1 species